ACAAACGAGGGACCAGAUUCUGAAAGUGA
rnacentral:sRNA from 1 species